UUCUAUGGCCAUGCUACUUUGAACAAGCCUGUUCCUGUCUGAUCUCAGAAGCUAAGCAGGGUUGGGCCUGGUUAGUACUUGAAUGGGAGACCACCUAGGAAGACCAGGCACUAUAGGCA
rnacentral:rRNA from 1 species